rnacentral:sRNA from 1 species
CUUUCUUGAUGCCGUUACGUCCAUGGAUUUUUUCCCAGGAUUAAAUUUGGAAGGCUAUCCUAACAGAGACAGUACGAAAUAUGCUGAGAUUUAUGGCAUUUCUUCUGCUCACACUUUGUUGCGGGGGACACUGAGAUAUAAGGGAUUGGAAUGCUGAAUAAUGGAUUGGAAUGUUGAAUAAUGUUGAAUACCUUCCUAUGGUAUUCUCCCUAACUCCUUCCCCUUGAACCACCCAGCCCCAUCUAUGGAUAUAUGAAAGCUUUGAAUGGAUUUGUAAAAUUAGGUCUUAUAAACAGAGAAGCGCUUCCUGCCUUUAGACCUGAGGCCAACCCUCUCACCUGGAAACAACUCCUCUGUGACCUAGUUGGGAUUUCACCCUCCUCUGAGCACGAUGUGUUGAAGGAAGCUGUUCUUAAGAAACUAGGAGGAGACAAUACCCAGUUGGAGGCUGCUGAAUGGUAGGCACCCACCACUCAACUUCACCCACCACUCAACUUAGAGCAAAAUAUACUGGAUCAAUGAUUGCUAAUUUCUACUCAAAAAAAGUUAAAUAUUUUACAUUUGUCUUUGAUUAAUUCGUUGCUCUAAUGUGGGUAGAGAGAUUACCAUGUGCCAUGUUCAUGUGGGCAUAAAGAGUAGAUAAAGAGAGGAGCUGAAUGGCAAUUAGAAUUUGAGAAAUGCUUAUCUCGAAACACUUUACCACUCAGUUGCCAAGCAUAGUGGGGUAUUUUUGCUUUCCUGUAGGAGAUUUGGAGUAGUCAUAGAAUAUUACAUUAAAACAUUCUUUCAUAUGACCGCUGUGGCAUCCUGCUGGUAUACCUAAUGUUGGAGAACUAACCUAUAAAUUAAUCUCAUAAAGAGCUUUGUAAGAACAUGGGAUUACAAUCCAUCAUCUCUGCCCUGCUCCAGGGAGCAGUGCCUGGGUGAGUCUGGAGAAGAUUCUGAAGGUUAAAACAUUGCUAUUGUUAUUGUUAUUUUACAUUUUAGGAGAAUCCUACAACUUGAGUUACCACCUUGUAAUUCUGCCCUUUCAAGAUUAAAUUCAAGGAGCUCCCUUUUGCUUCCCAAAUGAGAACAUGUAUAGGACUUGAACUAAUGCAGCCAUCUCCUGUGCUUUUCAGGUUGGGCUUACUUGGGGAUGAACAAGUUCCUCAGGCAGAGUCCAUUCUGGAUGCCCUCUCCAAGCAUUUGGUCAUGAAGCUUUCCUAUGGUCCUGAAGAAAAAGAUAUGAUUGUGAUGAGAGACAGCUUUGGAAUCAGACAUCCUUCUGGACAUUUAGAACAUAAAACGAUUGAUCUUGUGGCUUAUGGGGACAUCAAUGGCUUUUCAGCCAUGGCUAAAACCGUGGGGUUACCCACCGCCAUGGCAGCCAAAAUGUUGCUUGAUGGUGAAAUUGGAGCCAAAGGCCUAAUGGGGCCCUUUUCAAAGGAGAUCUAUGGACCAAUUUUGGAGCGAAUUAAAGCAGAAGGCAUUAUAUAUACUACACAGAGUACAAUUAAACCAUAAUUGGGAAUUAUAUUUUGUUUUUUUCUUCCCAGGCAAUACACCUCUGAACAUGUGUGUGAUAAAUGGGUUUGCUAAUGUGCUGUUUUAAAGUAUAAAGCAUAAUAUGUUUUGGUUAACACAAUGUACUUUUUGAACUAUAAAUCUUUAUUUUAGUAUGGAAAUGUUUGGAACAGGAGAUGCAAGCCACUAACAGAGAACUUUAAUAAUUCUACCCUGUAUUUUAUAAAUACGUAUGUGAAAGUGAUGAUCGUGCUAUUUGUUAAUUUAUUGUGCCACUUUUUUCUUUUGUUUUUUUUUUUUUGUUGUUGUUGUUUUUUGAGACGGAGUCUCACUCUGUCACCCAGGCUGGAGUGCAGUGGCGCGAUCUCGGCUCACUGCAAGCUCCGCCUCCUGGGUUCACGCCAUUCUCCUGCCUCAGCCUCCCAAGUAGGUGGGACUACAGGCACCUGCCACCACGCCUGGCUAAUUUUUUUGUAUUUUUCAGUAGAGACGGGGUUUUACCAUGUUAGCCAGGAUGUCCACUUUUUUCUUAAAUGAACAUAUUGUCUUAUAACCAGCAAAUGAAAUUUUACUUUUUUAGUCAGAAAAAAUUUCUUCAUAAAGCUAUAUUUUUAUAUUUUUAAAACUGAUACAGUUAGAUACCUUCAGAUUACCUAAGUUUUUGCCAAAAUGCUAUUUUAUGCCCUUUUUGUAAAGUUAUGAUAUAUUUUGUAAAUGUAGUUCCUUAUAGUUUUCUCCUGAGUGUUUGGAAAUGAGAAUAGAUAAGAUUAAAUUACAAUUUACAAGAUCACUUCAUUAGGCACAGGAAAAGUAUUUAACAAAAUUCAACACCCUUUCAC